UUUAUCUCACAGCUUACUAUAAAAGACGAGCCCAUCGUGUCUGUUCUCAUACACAAGUCACAACCCGAGCACAGCGUGUCGUUCUGUACUCCGCACAUCAAGCUACAAUGAGGUUUAUUUUCCUCUUCGUCUGUGCUCUCGCGCUGUUCGCCUCAGUGUCUGCGGCGCCUUGUUACUCGAAUCGCUGCGGAGGUCAAGGUGGAGGUCAUGGCGGCGGAGGCGGUGGUGGUCGCAGUUGUCCAACUUGCGGCAUCAGUAACUUCGGCAACGGAGAUCACAACGCUAAUAAGAUAACAAUCAGAAGACACAAUGGCUAGAUGUUCCUCACACAGCUGGGGGUCGUGAACAUAAGAUACUGGAUAUAAAGCGUCUUCACUUAGCCUCUGAUGACUUCGUCUGAUGUCGUUGUUCCGAUCAACACGUCUCAUCAAAAUCACGAAAAGAACUGUAUUGUGCUACCUAAUUAAUACCUAAUUCUAUUUUGUUUCCUACUUUACAAGUAUUAUAUAUAGAUUAUAACCAUUUCUGUGACAGAACAUUUAUUCAAUUUAAAGUUUUUUUUAUGUUGUUCGCGAUAUAUUUUAAGUUUUAAUGUAUGGAUAAAAUAAAUAGUAA